GGUACGGAGGAGAAUAACAGCAACAACAAA
rnacentral:piRNA from 1 species